rnacentral:lncRNA from 1 species
GACUUUUCAUUUUGUUCUGUACUAAGAAAAAAUUAAUCUGGAUCUUUUAUAGAAAUAGAACUGUACAAUGUGUGAUCUUUUGUGGUUUGCUUUUUUUUCUCUUAGCACAAUGUUUUCAAAUUUCUUUCAGGUUAGGGUAUUCGGGAUGCUGAGUUUGGAGGAUUGUCUUAGCCCAGGAGUUCAGGACCAGCCUGGGCAACAUAGGGAGACAGUAUCUUGAUUUUUAAAAAAGUCAAAUGCCAAGAAAACACCCAAAUCAAUGACACCAUUUUAUGUUCCCACCAGUAAUGUAUGUGAGUUCCAAUUAUUCCACGUUGUUACCAACUUUUUUUUUUUUUUUUGGAGACAAAAUCUUGCUC